GAUGAACGCUAGCGGCAGGCUUAACACAUGCAAGUCGAGGGGUAUAGGUUUUCGGACCUAGAGACCGGCGCACGGGUGCGUAACGCGUAUGCAAUCUACCUUUCACAGAGGGAUAGCCCAGAGAAAUUUGGAUUAAUACCUCAUAGUAUAGCAGUUUCGCAUGAAACCACUAUUAAAGUAUCAACGGUGAAAGAUGAGCAUGCGUCCCAUUAGCUGGAUGGUAAGGUAACGGCUUACCAUGGCUACGAUGGGUAGGGGUCCUGAGAGGGAGAUCCCCCACACUGGUACUGAGACACGGACCAGACUCCUACGGGAGGCAGCAGUGAGGAAUAUUGGUCAAUGGACGCAAGUCUGAACCAGCCAUGCCGCGUGCAGGAUGACGGUCCUAUGGAUUGUAAACUGCUUUUGUACGAGAAGAAACAACAUUACGUGUAAUGUCUUGACGGUAUCGUAAGAAUAAGGAUCGGCUAACUCCGUGCCAGCAGCCGCAGUAAGAC
rnacentral:rRNA from 1 species